GUCCACGUAGCUCAGGUGGUAGAGCACAUCCUUGGUAAGGAUGAGGUCACCGGUUCGAGCCCGGUCGUGGGCU
rnacentral:tRNA from 1 species